UCUUGUGCGACGGGGUGGAGCUUAGCCUCGAGGAAGCGGCCAAUGAGCUGGAGCUCUUUACUGUUAAGAGUGUGGGCACGGAACUCCUGAAGAGCCGGGUCAGGGCGACGGGGUUUCUCCGAGGGAGGAAGAAGAGAAGGGGCAGAGAGACAGCAGCCUCAGCCUGGCUUCCGUACUUACCGCGCCGGGAGGCGGCAGCCGGCAGCGACCCGGAAGCACUUCUCUCUGCCUCAGCGGAAGGGCCCACCAGAACCGGGGAAGCACCAACGCAUGCGCCUUCGCUCUCCUUUUGUUUCUCGUUCCCGCCCUCCACACCGGAUGUGACGCUCUACACCUUAGUCACGUCGUUAUGUAACCUCUGACUCAGCCUCCGCUUCAGAGGUCAUGCCUUCUGACAACGGCAGUCCUUCAAACCCAACCCCCAUUAAGCUCCAUCACCCACCAGCCUCUUCUAGAGCUAGCAUUCAUCCACAGUUCUACCCCUGACCACACCAGAUGUGUGAAGUUUAACAAGUCGUUUUUCCCACCUGGAUUUAGUUUUGUCUUCAACCAGCUUCGGAAACUAUGCAGCCUUCCUCCUAUCCUGGACUGAUGUGAGGAUUUGACGAGACUACAUGUUUAAGUCGUAGUGUACUGUGUACGUUAACAUGAUUAUGUUUCCAAGCAGCUCUAGUUGUUACAAAGUUUUCAUUAAAGAGUAAAUUUUGCCUCUUG